rnacentral:rRNA from 1 species
GACGAACGCUGGCGGCGUGCUUAACACAUGCAAGUCGAACGGAAAGGCCCUGCUUUUGUGGGGUGCUCGAGUGGCGAACGGGUGAGUAACACGUGAGUAACCUGCCCUUGACUUUGGGAUAACUUCAGGAAACUGGGGCUAAUACCGGAUAGGAGCUCCUGCUGCAUGGUGGGGGUUGGAAAGUUUCGGCGGUUGGGGAUGGACUCGCGGCUUAUCAGCUUGUUGGUGGGGUAGUGGCUUACCAAGGCUUUGACGGGUAGCCGGCCUGAGAGGGUGACCGGCCACAUUGGGACUGAGAUACGGCCCAGACUCCUACGGGAGGCAGCAGUGGGGAAUAUUGCACAAUGGGCGGAAGCCUGAUGCAGCAACGCCGCGUGCGGGAUGACGGCCUUCGGGUUGUAAACCGCUUUCGCCUGUGACGAAGCGUGAGUGACGGUAAUGGGUAAAGAAGCACCGGCUAACUACGUGCCAGCAGCCGCGGUGAUACGUAGGGUGCGAGCGUUGUCCGGAUUUAUUGGGCGUAAAGGGCUCGUAGGUGGUUGAUCGCGUCGGAAGUGUAAUCUUGGGGCUUAACCCUGAGCGUGCUUUCGAUACGGGUUGACUUGAGGAAGGUAGGGGAGAAUGGAAUUCCUGGUGGAGCGGUGGAAUGCGCAGAUAUCAGGAGGAACACCAGUGGCGAAGGCGGUUCUCUGGGCCUUUCCUGACGCUGAGGAGCGAAAGCGUGGGGAGCGAACAGGCUUAGAUACCCUGGUAGUCCACGCUGUAAACGGUGGGUACUAGGUGUGGGGUCCAUUCCACGGGUUCCGUGCCGUAGCUAACGCUUUAAGUACCCCGCCUGGGGAGUACGGCCGCAAGGCUAAAACUCAAAGGAAUUGACGGGGCCCCGCACAAGCGGCGGAGCAUGCGGAUUAAUUCGAUGCAACGCGUAGAACCUUACCUGGGUUUGACAUGGAUCGGGAGUGCUCAGAGAUGGGUGUGCCUCUUUUGGGGUCGGUUCACAGGUGGUGCAUGGCUGUCGUCAGCUCGUGUCGUGAGAUGUUGGGUUAAGUCCCGCAACGAGCGCAACCCUUGUUCACUGUUGCCAGCACGUUAUGGUGGGGACUCAGUGGAGACCGCCGGGGUCAACUCGGAGGAAGGUGGGGAUGACGUCAAGUCAUCAUGCCCCUUAUGUCCAGGGCUUCACGCAUGCUACAAUGGCUGGUACAGAGAGUGGCGAGCCUGUGAGGGUGAGCGAAUCUCGGAAAGCCGGUCUCAGUUCGGAUUGGGGUCUGCAACUCGACCUCAUGAAGUCAGAGUCGCUAGUAAUCGCAGAUCAGCAACGCUGCGGUGAAUACGUUCCCGGG